UACGUAGGUGGCAAGCGUUGUCCGGAUUUACUGGGUGUAAAGGGCGUGCAGCCGGAGAGACAAGUCAGAUGUGAAAUCCACGGGCUCAACCCGUGAACUGCAUUUGAAACUGUUUCCCUUGAGUGUCGGAGAGGUAAUCGGAAUUCCUUGUGUAGCGGUGAAAUGCGUAGAUAUCAGGAGGAACACCGGUGGCGAAGGCGGCCUGCUGGACUGCAACUGACGUUGAGGCCCGAAAGCGUGGGGAGCAAACAGG
rnacentral:rRNA from 1 species